rnacentral:lncRNA from 1 species
ACCCAAAACUCCCUUGACCAACUCUAUGGGAGAUUAGGUUAACCCAAGCCCAUGUACACCCAUGACUCGACCUAAUCUCACCUAUUCUGGGCCUAGACCUGGCCCAUAAAGAGGUGGUCCCUUGAGGCCCACUUAACCUAGACCUCAAGAACCUGAAAGGCCCACAGCCUUUCAACCUAGGGCCCAACUAGCCCUAGAACCUCCAUGAAGCCCUCAUGAAUGAUGGACCUUGGCCUUAGCCUUGGUCCCCUGGGCCUUGGACACACCAC